AGCAGGGAGAGGAGCAGCUUGGGCACGAUGCGCCGAUCUGGCUAAUGAGGGCAAUAAAACAGGAUUAUCUGCUGGCCCUGAGCUGAGAUUGUGGUAAUUGCCAGAUACUUUGCUUCUCCUUUGGGAGUAAAUGAAGGCGGUGGCACGUGGAAAUUACUUUUCGAGGCUAAUUAGCUGGGAGUUAAGUCUCAUCAGACGUUAACCUAUCAGGUUGGUCUUUGCCUAUUUCUGAUGCUGCCAGAAUGCAUCAGGAGCUUUCCCAGCAAGAAGAUGUGCUUCCUGCUCCAUGGGUUGCACGAUGUGAAGGUGGGCCUCCAUGGUGAAGCUGGAGAUAGAAUCAUUAAGAAAAGACCUCUGAGAUCCCCAAGCCCAUGACCACGGGUCUGUCUGGUUGGACUGCAGAGUUUUAGUGAAACAAACUUGCACCUAUUGAUCAACAGAAAUGAAAAGCAUGCUGGCCAGCAAAGAUUCAAGAGCUGCAAUGGAAU